AUUGAACGCUGGCGGCAGGCCUAACACAUGCAAGUCGCGCGGAUGAAGGGAGCUUGCUCCUGGAUUCAGCGGCGGACGGGUGAGUAAUGCCUAGGAAUCUGCCUGGUAGUGGGGGAUAACGUCCGGAAACGGGCGCUAAUACCGCAUACGUCCUGAGGGAGAAAGUGGGGGAUCUUCGGACCUCACGCUAUCAGAUGAGCCUAGGUCGGAUUAGCUAGUUGGUGGGGUAAAGGCCUACCAAGGCGACGAUCCGUAACUGGUCUGAGAGGAUGAUCAGCCACACUGGAACUGAGACACGGUCCAGACUCCUACGGGAGGCAGCAGUGGGGAAUAUUGGACAAUGGGCGAAAGCCUGAUCCAGCCAUGCCGCGUGUGUGAAGAAGGUCUUCGGAUUGUAAAGCACUUUAAGUUGGGAGGAAGGGCAGUAAGUUAAUACCUUGCUGUUUUGACGUUACCAACAGAAUAAGCACCGGCUAACUUCGUG
rnacentral:rRNA from 1 species